ACGGUGACACUUCGCGUGCGGUGUAGGCGCAUCUUCGCUCUGUUGGCCGUGGCUUUAGUAAGCACACACCUGCCUGCUACUCUGGUUAUCGUGGCGACGGCAGGUCUGGAUUGCCAGACAGGUUUUUCUUUUUACCUCGAGGCUUUCUCUGAAGGGAGUCGGAGCAUUUAAAAGGCGGCCUCAAGGUGGAUUGAGUCGGGGGAGGAUUAGCAGUAUUUGCUUAGGUUGUAAAACCGCGACUUUAUCUAAUAAAUCGCCAUUCAAGGUGCAAAUACAAACUUGGAACAGAGAUGUAAAUGAAUUCCUCAAGGUCAGAGACUGUUUUUAUUCAUUUCUACAUCUCCAACACCUGGCAAAGUGCCUCGGCCAUAAAAGAUAAUCUGCCUCUGAAACCUUCCGUGGGCACAGAAAUUUCUGCAAGGAAAGCAUCAGCAACCAGAAUAAUUUGGUGAGGAAGAUUUGGCACAGAAUACCCUGACUGAGGUAUUGCUCCAAAAGGAGCAAUCCUCUGGGGUUAGGAGUCAAUUAUUAGGUGCCUACAAAACACUCUGUUAUUUCGACUAAACAUGCCUUGCUGUCAAGGAGAAGAAAGAACUGUGCACUGAAAACCAGAACAGCCAAAAAAGAAUGUGGCUGUGGUCAUGGGAAAGGUCUUUGAAUAACAGGGAAAAGGAGACAGGGCAGUUGAAGGAAGGAUAAGAAAAGGCUACUUCCUAGCAGGAAUUAAUAAACUAAUGUUUUUAUUAUUUAAUAGAAACCCAUUCCUUUCUUUCAAAUAAGGCAGAGAUAAGUUAGGAUUGGAUGUAGCUAUAUAGAUCCCUAUUUCUGGCACAGGCUGAUAGCAAUAAAGGAAGUCAGAACACAACCCCACUCUCACCCACAUCCCACUUUGCAAAAACCAUGACCCAAAUGCCUCUGUAGAUACUGGGCUGUGGACUGCUGGCAAAGCCUCAGGAGCCUUUGCUCUACUGAGUGAUCUACCUUUAGAUUGACAGCAGCGGCUGUGGAGUAACAUCUGAAUGUUGAUUGACAGUGCAGUUUGUGGGAAUAAAGCAGGGAGGGAAACCCUUUAACCAGUUUCCAUUUCUUGGUGUCUUAAAGUUUUCAUCUUACUAAAGAAUCAAACCGUUGUGUAAUCCAGAGGAAGAGCAUCCCUCAUCCUGGCAGCCCUGCUCUACCACAUCUGCCUAUCCAUAGUGAAAGACACCAUAUUUUUAAGAAAAUAUGAAAUGCAGAGAUGAAAACUAUUUUGGAGCAAAUGAUUUUAAAUAAAAAGGUUGCAUACUCAUUUUAAAUGAUUUUAAUUUUCUGAAUAUUAUGUUCCAACUCAAGAUAUUGCACAAUGCUUUAAUAUUACACUUGUUAUUUUUCUCACACUAGUGAGAUUUUGAUAAACAUAGUUGACUUUGGAAGUAACAGAGAAUGUUUUCAUUGGUUAAAUAAUUUCAAUGACCUGUGAGGAACUGAAAGCAAGCUAUUACAUUCAUAUAAAAGAUAAGUACAUAUCCAUAAAUUCACUUGGAUUCAAUGAAAAAUAAUAAACUUCUCGUGUACUUAAUAAAACUUAAAAGGAAACAAAA
ensembl:lncRNA TMEM30A-DT TMEM30A divergent transcript